CCAAUAGCGUAUAUUAAAGUUGUUGCAGUUAAAAAGCUCGUAGUUGAAUUUCGGGGCCAGUAAGUUGGUCGUGCCACUGGUAUGUACUGGCUUUACUGGUCUCUCCUUCUUGAAGAACCGUGAUGCCAUUAAUUUGGUGUUGCGGGGAAACAGGACUGUUACUUUGAAAAAAUUAGAGUGCUUAAAGCAGGCUUACGCUUGAAUACAUUAGCAUGGAAUAACGAAAUAGGACGCUCGAUUCUAUUUUGUUGGUUUCUAGGAUCGACGUAAUGAUUAAUAGGGAUAGUUGGGGGCAUUAGUAUUCAAUUGUCAGAGGUGAAAUUCUUGGAUUUAUUGAAGACUAACUACUGCGAAAGCAUUUGCCAAGGAUGUUUUCAUUAAUCAAGAACGAAAGUUAGGGGAUCGAAGACGAUCAGAUACCGUCGUAGUCUUAACCAUAAACUAUGCCGACUAGGGAUCGGAUGAAGUUAAUUUUUUAAUGACUCAUUCGGCGCCUUACG
rnacentral:rRNA from 1 species